rnacentral:rRNA from 1 species
CCACCUUCGGGUGGUGGACAGUGGCAGACGGGUGAGUAACGCGUGGGAACGUGCCUUUCGGUUCGGGAUAACCCAGGGAAACUUGGGCUAAUACCGGAUACGCCCUUCGGGGGAAAGAUUCAUUGCCGAAAGAUCGGCCCGCGUCGGAUUAGCUAGUUGGUGGGGUAAUGGCCUACCAAGGCGACGAUCCGUAGCUGGUCUGAGAGGAUGACCAGCCACACUGGGACUGAGACACGGCCCAG